CUCCCCCGCCGCGCUCAGCUCUGCCCCGUGUCUCUCCUUCCACCUCCGCGUCUGGGUCCCGGCCACUUCACCGCCUACUUGCUGUACUGACUUUUGUGGAAGAAUGUUGGAUUUUUGUUAUUGAUCAUUACUAGAUCACCCUCCUAGCAGGGCUAGUGCGUUGGAGCAGAGGUGUUUCUAAUCAUUUGGACUUCUUCCACUUCUACAUUUCUGUGAUUAUUAUCAAGGAGCAUCAACCCAAACCAGGGUUAAGUAAGUAUACCAAGGUCCAAAUGUUGCUUGAGUGAGUUUGAAGCAUGAGCCAAUUGUCACUACCAUGCAACCAUCACCAUUGCUUUCUAGAGCCACUCCCGUCUGCCUGUUUGGAAGAAUCAGCUGUUAAGGCAUAUUCCCUCCACCAUGUCCGGACAGGCUGAAGUCUGUCGCCAAGCAGAAGCUUUAACCUCUUUUGAAAGCUCACAGUGUGGCUUGAGUCUGCAGGUGCUUGCUAUUGUGAAAAGAGCUCUGAUAGUCCAGAGACCUUGGAUCGAACUGAAAUCCAACUCUCAGUGUGUAACUCUGGGCAAUUUCCUUACUUCUCUGGACUCCAGUUUCUUCGUAUACAAAAGACACGUGGACUAGAUGGUCUCUGAGGCCCUUGUCCACCUUUACUCGGGUUUCCUGAGUCUACCACAUGCUGAGCACUGCACCAGGGCAUUUCCAGGUUGUCCUUAUUCUAAUUCCAAAAGUUAGAUAAUAUAAUUCUCAUUUUUCACAUAGAUAGUAGGGGAAGGGGAACUGGAAAAACUCAGAAGGCAAGAAGGGAGGCUGGCGUUUUUAGAACGGGACUGAGCAAAAAGGAGAGUUGGAGACCCUGAGCUCUAGAAGCAGCUUUACCUCACCUGGGAGCCUGGAGUUCACCAGAACGUGACAGUUUAUGACAUGGGUUCACGUAUGUUCUUUCAGUUUUGCUUCCCCUACUUCUGUGUGUAGAUAAAGAAGAUAUUUUUAUUCUUAUCUAAAGCAGAUAAAACAGAGAGGUUAAGGGGCUUGUAUAAAGUCAUUUAGAUAGGAAGUGGUAUUAGAGAGAAUUAAUCUUUUGAUUAGCAAAUACCAAAACCAGGCCUUCUGACCUAAUUAUGGUGAUCAUUUUCAUAAUUCACAAUGUUUUAUUAAAUUUACUGUGCUAAUUUCCCAGUUGCUGUAGAUAUGGAAAAGGACCCCGAAAC
rnacentral:lncRNA from 1 species